CCCCCACCCCCAGCUCUCGAUGCCUUCCCCGUUCUUCCUAUCGCCCCCAGCUCCCGAUCCGUUUCCCGACGCCGCUCCUCUCAUCACCAGGAACUGGCACCGCCCGAUGCCAGCUGCUCCUCCUCCCGACGCCGCUCCUCCCGUCGCCGAUCCGGGGACUGAAGCCUGCCGUAGCCGCCGAUCCGUUCCCGACGCCUUACCUCCGCCCGUCGCCGCUCCCCUCCUUCGACGGCGCUCCCUCCUCCCGACGGCAUUCCGUGAGACCGUCCUCCCGUCGUCGUCAUCCCCAGGAGAUCCUACUAUGGCCCACCGACGAGAUCCUCCCCUGGCCUGCCUUCAGGUCAUGGAUGAAUCGAUGGCACAGCGUGGAUGAAUCGCCUGCGUAUCCCCGCAUUCAAGGUGAUGCCCUCCCAUUCCCGAUGCUGCUCACUCCUCCCGUCGCUGUCGAUCCUCCUCCGGCCUGCCCUCCGAUCAGAGAUUGUCCCACAGAUGCAUAUCAACCCAAGCAGGGUGGUGUUCGAGCAGCUUCUGAUUUGGUCGUCAAUCGUGUGCCCUGGUUCCGAUCGGCUCGGCCCUGUGGAUUGGAGACGACGGCCACCAGGGAUCCAAUCUCCUCCGCUGUAGCUUGGGGUUCCUUCCCUGGAGCGGCAGAUUUGUUUGGAUGAGUAUUCAUUGAUGCCUACGGUGCGGUGGACGCCACGAUCUCCAUUGAUAGUGUCAUCUUUCAGCAGUACCCAUCAUCACCAUUAGGUGUUUAGGGACAGUUCCCCUUGUUCAUCACUUGAUGGAUUUUGUGCAGAAAGCAUCUGUUUUCCAGUAUAUAGAUUCUGAGUUUCAUGUAAGAAUGGUAUGUUUAGAACCUAUGUGUAUAGAUUCUUAUAAAAAUAUAAGUUUGGAGUGGCA